rnacentral:lncRNA from 1 species
AUGAUCUCCCAUCACAGAAUCACUGGUAUCCUCUUCUUUGUCCAUUCUUGGUGGGCAGUGAAACCAGCAGCAACGAAGAGAUCUAGCUCCUGUUCCAUCUCUCCUGUCCUUUACGAAUAUUGGAUUUCUGGGGUGGAAUUUUCUUUGUCAAAACAGGAGCCCAGGUAUGGGGGUGAGAGGAGUCAGAGAUAUCCAGAUUUUUUUUUUUUUUUUUUAUUUUAUUUUUUCUUUCUUCAAUUCCCAGUCUUCAAUCUAUCUUUGGUUUUGGAGGCAUGUAAGGAAAGUGGGGGGAGGAGACUGAGGAAGAAGCAAGUGGCUCCUAAGACACAACAAUACACAAACUGUCCAAUGGAAGAGCAGCCUUAAGGAAGUAGGAGACCGUCUAAGAGCUGCAAGCCAAGUUCUUUCUUCCAGUGCCUUAGGCAAUUCCAUGAGAGUCACACUGGAGCUCUAAGGAACCCUGUAGACUAUAAAUCAACAAGGGAUAUGACACUGGGGAAAGGGAUGAAACAGAAGAAAUCAGACAGUGAAGCCUGCCCUUCGCUUACUAAAAAGCACACUGUUUUUUAAAUUUAUUCAUUUAGUUAGUUAUUUUUGGCUCUGCUAGGUCUUUGUUGCUGUCUGUCAACUUUCUGUAGUUGCAGUGAGUGGAUGUUGUGAUGUUUGGGCUUCUCAUUGAGGUGGCCUCUCUGGUUGUGGAGCACCGGCUCUAGGGUGCACGGGCUUCAGUAAUUGUGGUGAAUUGGCUUAAUUGCUCCAAGACAUGUGGGAUCUUUCCAACCAGGGAUUGAACUGGUGUCCCUUGCAUUGGAAGGUGGAUUCUUAACCAGUUGAUCACCAGGAAAGCCCCCACGCUGUGUUUUUGAUGGACCAUAUUCUUCAGUAUAUUUGUGUAUGAGUUGUGUGUGUGUGUGUGUAUGUGUGUUUAUCACAGUACGGUUGGACAGUGGCUCUUUUUAGCAGAGGCUUAUGCAUUGUUCAGCUAAUGGAUCAAUACCCUGCAAGGGUUACAUCCUUACCGUGUAAUUCUAGGGUGGGUGGGAGCAAUCAAGUUGAAUUACUGACUUUGUGAGGAAAUGAAAAGUCAAACUGCUGACCAUGUGUAUUUUAUAUUAUUUAAUUAAAAGUAGAUAACAGUACUUGAAUGAACCACCAAUCAGAUAAAAAUGGCAGUAUUUUCUCAUAUUUAACACAUAUUUGACUUGUGUUUGUGUGACAAUUCACCAGAACAGGUCUAUGAUGUCUCCAAAUAGAAAAUCAGAAGUGUAAUUAAAAAAUACUGCAGGGGAGAGGCAAUAUUAACUCCAACCCUGAGCAAAGCUAAUCACAACUACAGUGCCAUCACUGUUAUUCCUAUUUAAUGAGACUCUCCUCUGCUUCUUUCUUUAACUUGAAAUAAGAAAGAAAUCAUCAGAAUUUUUGUUUUAAAUAUACCAUGCACCUUUUAUAGAAAUAAAGAAAAUAGAUGGAUUAUGAAUUUUAGGUGUCCAUUCCCCAUUUAUUUAUUCAUUUUAAUGAAGUUUCAUCUAAUAUCCAACAAUCAGUCAUUCAAAAUUGUAUGCCACAACAGAACUGAUAGUUUAUAGGACUCUCUAGAGAUCUUCGGCUUCAUCAGAUGAGCACUUGUGGGGAAUGUCCAUCUACUCUUUUUCAGUAUCACUGAAUCAUGUGGAGAAUAAUCCCAGUGAACUCAGUCUCUUCAGCACCCAUUCAAACAUGUCUGGUACAAUCAGAGCUUGGCAUCCUUAGACCCUGAUACAGUGCCACAGCUGAAGGUUCUAAGUCUCUGACCUUCCCUACCAGGCUCCACUGACUUUCAGACCAAAUGAAGAAGACUUUGGUGCAUUGUCUGCUUUUGAUCUUCAGUUAGUGGUUGAUUUAGUUACUUCAUCAACUUUUAUUUAGAGAUUUUCAUGAAAAUCUCUACUGUAUCUUGGUUCUUCUUUUGGAGGUUGAGAGCAAAGUACAUUAGUCUAUUCAAUGACAAACUAUUGAUAACUGUUGGAUAUUUCAAUUCCUUUUUCUGUUUUGGACUGAACAAGACUCCAAGAUGUUUCUGCAUCAGAAGCUAGUCUGAUAUUGCCAACUAGUCACACUUCCGUUAGUCCUUACAAUAAAUUUUCUACUCUUUAAAUUAAAAUUUACAUUUCUUAUCCUUUUUUGCCCCAAAUUAGGAGAUUGUUUGACUGAUUUUUACUUAAGGGUUCUCCUUGCCUCCAGGAUAGAGAUCUUGAUAUUUUAUCAAUGGAGAAGGUUUUCAAUUCAUAGGGGAAGGAGAAGUAUGGAGGUGGAUGAUUCUAAGUAGAAUAUAGCUCAUGUUCUUAUGUCCUGAGCAAGCCUGAUGCCAUCCUGCUACCAAUGAAAGGUGGGAACCAAGGAAGGAGAGUCCUGGGCCAAAUCAUCUGGGCAGACUGCUUAUUUGGGUCAGCAUUAAGAUUCAACUGGUUGUUGAAGAGGGUUGGGAAACUGGGGCUGUCAAGUGUGUAGAGCAUUUUGAGGAUGUUAACAGAAUGCUAGGGAGAGAGUUACGAACAUGGUGGAAGUGGGUUGGAGACAUGGUUCAGGAGAGAAGUUCAGAACUAAGACAAAUUGCUGAGUAUGGAGGAGAGAAUUCUCUUCGCCCCUGAACUACUGCCCAGGGGCAUUAAAAGAUGGGUCUUAAAGGAUUUUCAAAAGGUGUGGCAGGAAGUAGGAGGUUAAAACCAGGUCACCUGAGUAAAUGCUACUGUAGGAAAUAAAUAGAAACUUAGUCUGAAGACAAAGAACAAGGCCAGAAUUACUCUGGCUUAGACAUUCAUGGGCUAACAUUUUAGCAUCUCUAGCAUUGGUUUGCACCUCACAAUUGAUGGGAUCUUGCAUUUAAUAAAAUAUGGUCUAGUGUGAAUGGCAUGAAGGUAUGAGAAAGAGAUGAAUCUGUGACUACAAACAACCUUCAACAGAUGUGAGGGGCAAAGAUAUGUUUUCUGUUGCUUUUUAAGUGGAAAUAUUGUCAACACAAUCUUUUUGCCUUUUACUGUGGUUUUGCAAACGAAAUUUUGGAAUGUCUCACUUAGAUGCUGAAUCUCAGCUUCCUCCUUUUUGAUACUGCCACAUAUUCCUUCCUUCUCACUUUGAGUCCACUUUGACUUAUAUUAAGAGAAAAGUGGGGUUGCUAAGAGACUAGGUUAACUGUCAGUCCCUCAGAAAGGCCUUCCCAGACCACCCAACAAAUAACCACUCCCCUAUUCACUUUCUAUGGAUCACCUUAUUUUAUUCCUAUCAUAGCACUUACACUUUUCUGAUAGUUUCCUAUUAGUUCAUUGACUAAUUUUGUUUAUGGUCCACCUCCUCUGUUAGAAUGUAAGCUCAAUGAGCAUCAGGGUUUUGUUCACUAAGGUGCCCUCUGUGCUCAGAUUGAUGUCUGGCACAUAGCUGACUCUUUGUUGACAUGUGUGGAAUGAGUAAAUGCAUAUAUGAUCUUGAGAGGAGUUGAACUCUCCCCUGCGGACUUAGGGUUCCCUGGAGUAAAUCUAAAUAUAAUGAGCAUUAUAUCCAACUAAUGCAUUUUGUGGGUUCCUCUACAUUUCCCAUUUAUCUUUUAAUGAAGAAAAAAUUUAAGAACCAUGUGAUUGUGGAUUGUUAAGACAGCAACCCCUAAAAUAUAGCUUGCAAAUUUCCAGGAUCUUAAAUUAAAGCUUCCCCAUCUCCCUGUCUGGGCUUAUGCAUGCUGAUCCAGCUUCAAAUCAGCCAGUAUCUAUUAUUCACCCUAGAAUUAAAAAGCAAGAAAACAACCUUUCUUCUUGGAAACAGACAUUCAAAAGUUUUGGCCUUGUUAUGUUGGCUGUGGUCUUAGUGAUCCAUAUUUAUAUGUUUAUAAAGUAUCUCUCACAUGUUUAAAGUAUAUUAAUUGUUAAUAUUACAUUACUAGUUAUAAUUACUAAGGUUUUCACUUCAACAAAUUUAAACCAACUGAAAAUACUAUCAAAAGAAAUGAACCUACCUUCACAUACACACAAUUCUUAAAAUAGCUCACUUAUUGGAUAGAGAUGGAGAAUUUCUCCAUGUUAGGAGAAAUUGUGAAAAUGGACAUGAGUCAUGACUAAGUUUUAUGGAACUAAGUUAGUCAUGGAACUAAGUUUUAUGUUAAUCUCUUGAAUGAACAUCAGUCUCAGAAUGAAAUUAACCUCUUUGAUUUUAGCAGAUCAACUCACAUCAUGUACUCAUUCCAAGCUGAAAGCAAAAAUAGAAACAAAACUUAUUAACAUCUGAGUGUAUUUGAUGCAGAAUCAUCCCUGAAUCAUUAAGGAAUACCUCUUGCUAAAUUUAAAAACAGUUGGAAAGACAGG